CUAGCUCGUGAGAUCUGGCUAUGUCGAUAGCUUUGUCCAGCGUUAGCUCAGACCCAACAUUCAAAAGUUUCUCUUUCACUCGCGAUCCAGAGGAGCAGGUAGCUGCAUUUUUCCUCUUCUCUUUCCUUCAGAGGACCCGUGAACAUUAGCUCCACAUGCUGUUUGUACUUACGCCAUCCAUCGGCGUUUCAAGAGGCACCUGUCCUUCCCCUGGCAUUCCUCAUUCACACCACCCAGCACAUGGAAAACCACAAACAGUUAUUUCGCACCAUCCUUUCACUCCUUCCCCAACUAUCAACAGCAACCUUCUGCACAGACGGUGAGGCGGCUAUUGAGGGAGCAAUCCAGUCUGUGCUGCCGCAAGCCAGGAUUGUCAAUUGCUGGAACCACAUCCCGAACAAUGUGAAGCACAAGAUGGGAUCAGAGGGUUCCCAAGCUGUGGCUGAUUACCAGCAGGCCAUCAAAGAGCUCUUGGCCUUGAAAUCAAGGAGCGACUACGAAUGCACACUGGAGAGUGUGUGUCCACUGGAGUCCUGAUCUCGAGGCUUACUUCCAUCAGUCGCUGUCCGACGCCAUGGACAAGAGCGCACAAUAUGUGCUAAACAGCUUGGGCAUCCAGUCAGACUGAAUUACCAACAACUGCUUAGAGAGCUUCAAUGCUGUCCUCAAGGCAUUGGUUGGAUGGAAGGUGAGAGUAAAUAAAUUGGUGUAUCUACUCUACCAACUCCAAACCAAUGCCUUGAGGGAAGUGCUGCGUGGCUACUGUAACCUAGGGAAUUUCCACCUGACCCCUGAUUGCCAUGAGCAAUUUUCCAGGCGAACGCCCACCACCAGUUUCCCCUACCACAUGUCGGAAGACAACAUGGUGUCCUUUGCUGAAGGCAUCCAGUCCUGUGUGGCACAGGAAAAGGUUGACAUGGCAGAAACUGGAGCGGAGGCCUUGGUCAAGAUGAUUGUUGCAAAAGGACGAAUCCUCCUGGUGCCAAGCACCCAAUCAUUCCUCUACCAGAGCUUCUCAGACAAGCAGCACGUUGUUACUCUGUUGUCAAUGGAGACGUGCUCCUGCUCUGCAUCGGACAGUAACCAGAGGUGUGUCCACAGACUGGCAGCUGUACUGGCCAUUGGCGGAAGUGUGGACAGUCCUAUGCCAAUAAAGCUGAGGACAAGGCAUCUGGGCGCAAAACGCUCUGGCCAUAAGUGUGCCACCAAGGAGCAUGUCCAGACGGCCGCUAAACGCCAGGAAGAACAAUCAACCGUUGAUCAACAGGGUGACCAAUUCCAACAGUCUCUGUCUGAGAAACACCCCAGCAGGGAUGACGAAUUGGAGAAUAGAUUUCUUCACCUAUACAAUGGUAUGGCGUGCACUGGGCAACCGCAAGGAUUUUGUUGAAGGGAUUUGUUGCCAUUCUGUACCUCCAUGACUUCCUAACGUUGAAGCCCAAUGAGUGGCUUAGUGGGGAGGUAAUGGACUUCUACCUCCAACUGAAGAGGAUUGACCUUCAAGUGGAGAGGGAUGUUUUUAUUGUGAUUCACCUUCUGGCAGGGAGUAUCCUGCAUGGGGAUAAGGUGGUGAUGCACAAGAACACCUUGUCAAAGAUGGCCAGAGUUAAUGCAGUGGGAGAAGGCACUAAGUGACCCAACUGUCCCAAUGCAUGUUAACAUCGGUGUGGCCAGAAUGGAGGUGGCGAAAGAGAUCCUGGACAAAGGAUCCCGGAUAGCACGGAACCUCUGGGAAAUCCUAUGAACUCCUCUACACGAUUGAAGGUCAAGGACACAACUCCUAUUGGUUCUGACAUACUGAGAACUUGUAACAACACUGUCUGUGAUUGGCUAACAAUGUUUAGAUCUGUAUACAGUGAGAUAAGAUAAUGUACCAUCCCAUGAGGUGUUGAGGGAAAGCAAGAUUACCUAUCAAAUCACAUUUUAUUUGUCACAUACACGUGUUUAGCAGAUGUUAUUGUGAGUGUAGCGAAAUGCUUGUGCUUCUAUUUUGACAGUGUAGCAAUAUCUAACAAUUUCACAACAAAUACCUAAUACCCACAAAUCUUAUUAACAUGCAGGCAUCCCACAGACGUUUGUAAAGCGUUGAUAUCACGUCAUGUCAGUCAAAUGUUCAAUGGUAGGCGACAGCCACACGGUGGUACUGUUGCUUAGGCUUAAUUUUGGCCUGAAUCACUCCCCAUAGCGCUCGCACAACAGGUUUUGCAUUUGUAUUUAUUAUGGAUCCCCAUUAGGCAGCAGCUGCUCUUCCAGGGGUCCAGCAAAAUUAAGGCAGUU